GAUGAUCAAGAGAGCCUGCCAAAGAGAACAAAAGAGGAACUUGGAAGAUCCCUUAGGAAAUGCAGAGACUAAGAAGAAAGGCAGACUGAGACUUUCCUUUGGUGGUUUUUUAGAGGUCUCCAAAGAAAUUCAAGUACUAUAGUGGAGCCCAUUACAAAGAAUUUUAGUUAAUGGUGAGUAGGAAUGAAUGUUUCUUUAAAUUGUGCUCUAUGUGUAUAUCUUUUUUAUUUUAUUCUGUUAUUCAAUAGUUCAAUUUCUAGUGGAGCCAAUACAUUCAUAAUAAAAAAAAUGGAAUAGAAAAUUUCCUGAAAAUA
rnacentral:lncRNA from 1 species